GUGUUCUCUCACCAUUGAUUAUUUGGCUAUAAGACUAUUCUUGCAUGUGAGAUAGCAGAAUGAACCUUUAGGGACAGAUCCUGAGGGUGAUCCAUUAAAUGAGUUUUCAUAGAGGCAGAACGUACAUGUAGAAUGAAGGGAGGAAUCAUGGGUAGGGCCAUGGAGGGGCUAUAGACAGUGUGCUUGAUGAGGGCAUCGAGUUUUAGUUUGGACCCAUAUAUUACUGAAAC